UACGGGGGGGGCAAGCGUUGUUCGGAAUUACUGGGCGUAAAGCGCACGUAGGCGGUCAGGCAAGUCGGGUGUGAAAGCCCUGGGCUCAACCUGGGAAUUGCAUUCGAAACUAUCUGACUAGAGUAUGGGAGAGGGAAGCGGAAUUUCCGGUGUAGCGGUGAAAUGCGUAGAUAUCUGGAGGAAUACCGGUGGCGAAGGCGGCAUCCGGGACCGACAUUGACGCUGAGGAGCGAAAGCUAGGGGAGCAAACGGG
rnacentral:rRNA from 1 species